rnacentral:rRNA from 1 species
GCGGUAGCAAUAUCGCCUAGAGCGGCGGACUGGUGAGUAACACGUGGGUGAUCUACCUUUUGGGAUGGGGAUAGCCUGUGGAAACACAGGAUAAUACCGAAUACGUUGGCUUGAUUGCGGUCAGGUCAGGAAAGGUCCGUUUGGACCGCCCGAAGAUGAGCCCGCGGCUGAUUAGCUUGUUGGCGGGGUAAUGGCCCACCAAGGCGAUGAUCAGUAGGCGGCCUGAGAGGGUGUACGCCCACAUUGGGACUGAGAUACGGCCCAAACUCCUACGGGAGGCAGCAGCUAAGAAUAUUCCGCAAUGGACGAAAGUCUGACGGAGCGACGCCGUGUGGAUGACGAAGGCCGAAAGGUUGUAAAAUCCUUUUGCUGGUGAAGAAUAAGUCUGGGAGGAAAUGCCCGGAUGAUGACAUGAACCGGUGAAUAAGCCCCGGCAAACUACGUGCCAGCAGCCGCGGUAACACGUAGGGGGCAAGCGUUGUUCGGAAUUAUUGGGCGUAAAGGGCAUGUAGGCGGUCUUGUAAGUCUGGCGUGAAAUGGUUCGGCUUAACCGAAUCCUGCGUCGGAAACUGCGAGACUAGAAUCACAGAGGGGAAAUCAGAAUUCCAGGUGUAGGGGUGAAAUCUGUAGAUAUCUGGAAGAAUACCAGUGGCGAAGGCGGAUUUCUGGCUGAUGAUUGACGCUGAGGUGCGAAAGUGCGGGGAGCAAACAGGAUUAGAUACCCUGGUAGUCCGCACGGUAAACGAUGUGCACUAGGUGUUGGAACGGAUGUUUCAGUGCCGGAGUUAACGUGUUAAGUGCACCGCCUGGGGAGUAUGCCCGCAAGGGUGAAACUCAAAGGAAUUGACGGGGGCCCGCACAAGCGGUGGAGCAUGUGGUUUAAUUCGAUGGUACGCGAGGAACCUUACCUGAGCUUGACAUAUGGUGGAAUGCAUCAGAGAUGGUGCAGCGUAGCAAUACGUCGCUAUACAGGUGCUGCAUGGCUGUCGUCAGCUCGUGCCGUGAGGUGUUGGGUUAAGUCCCGCAACGAGCGCAACCCCUACUGCCAGUUACUAACAGGUCAUGCUGAGGACUCUGGCGGAACUGCCGGUGACAAACCGGAGGAAGGUGGGGAUGACGUCAAGUCAUCAUGGCCCUUAUGUCCAGGGCUACACACGUGCUACAAUGGGCGAUACAGAACGACGCAAAGCCGCGAGGUAGAGCAAAUCGUAGAAAAUCGCUCGUAGUUCGGAUUGGAGUCUGAAACCUGACUCCAUGAAGUUGGAAUCGCUAGUAAUCGCGCAUCAGCACGGCGCGGUGAAUACGUUCCCGGGCCUUGUACACACCGCCCGUCACACCAUCCGAGUUGGAGGUACCCGAAGCCGGUAGUCUAACCUGCAAAGGAGGACGCUGUCGAAGGUACGUCUGGUAAGGAGGGUGAAGUCGUAACAAGGUA